GGCGUGCUUAACACAUGCAAGUCGAACGGGAUUUAGUAGACAGAAACCUCGGUGGAAGAUUACUAAUGAGAGUGGCGAACGGGUGAGUAACGCGUGAGCAACCUGCCUAUGACAGUGGGAUAGCCUCGGGAAACCGGGAUUAGUACCGCAUAAAAUCGUAGAAACACAUGUUUCAACGGUCAAAGAUUUAUCGGUCAUAGAUGGGCUCGCGUCUGAUUAGCUAGUUGGUGAGAUAACAGCCCACCAAGGCGACGAUCAGUAGCCGGUCUGAGAGGAUGAACGGCCACAUUGGAACUGAGACACGGUCCAAACUCCUACGGGAGGCAGCAGUGGGGAAUAUUGCACAAUGGGGGAAACCCUGAUGCAGCGACGCCGCGUGAACGAAGAAGGUAUUCGUAUCGUAAAGUUCUGUCCUAUGGGAAGAUAAUGACAGUACCAUAGAAGAAAGCUCCGGCUAAAUACGUGCCAGCCGCCGCGGUAA
rnacentral:rRNA from 2 species